rnacentral:rRNA from 1 species
AUUAGCCAUGCAUGUCUCAGUACAAGCCGAAUUAAGGUGAAACCGCGAAAGGCUCAUUAAAUCAGUUAUGGUUCCUUAGAUCGUACCCACAUUUACUUGGAUAACUGUGGUAAUUCUAGAGCUAAUACAUGCAAACAGAGCUCCGACCGGAGACGGAAGGAGCGCUUUUAUUAGAUCAAAACCAAUCGGCGUCGGUCGCCUCGCGCGUCCGUCGUCGUUCGCCCUGGCGAAUCUGAAUAACUUUAAGCAGAUCGCACGGUCUCGCACCGGCGACGCAUCUUUCAAAUGUCUGCCUUAUCAACUGUCGAUGGUAGGUUCCGUGCCUACCAUGGUCGUAACGGGUAACGGGGAAUCAGGGUUCGAUUCCGGAGAGGGAGCCUGAGAAACGGCUACCACAUCCAAGGAAGGCAGCAGGCGCGCAAAUUACCCACUCCCGGCACGGGGAGGUAGUGACGAAAAAUAACGAUACGGGACUCAUCCGAGGCCCCGUAAUCGGAAUGAGCACACUCUAAACCCUUUAACGAGGAUCAAUUGGAGGGCAAGUCUGGUGCCAGCAGCCGCGGUAAUUCCAGCUCCAAUAGCGUAUAUUAAAGUUGUUGCGGUUAAAAAGCUCGUAGUCGAAUCUGUGUCCCGCGCCGCCGGUUCAUCGCUCGCGGUGUUUAACUGGCGUGUUUACGCGGGACGUCCUGCCGGUGGGCUUAGCCCGCGAGGGCGGCCCAACUUGCGAAUCCCGCCGCGGUGCUCUUCGCUGAGUGUCGAGGCGGGCCGGCACGUUUACUUUGAACAAAUUAGAGUGCUUAAAGCAGGCUAAAACUUCGCCUGAAUACCGUGUGCAUGGAAUAAUGGAAUAGGACCUCGGUUCUAUUUUGUUGGUUUUCGGAACCCCGAGGUAAUGAUUAAUAGGAACGGAUGGGGGCAUUCGUAUUGCGACGUUAGAGGUGAAAUUCUUGGAUCGUCGCAAGACGGACGGAAGCGAAAGCAUUUGCCAAAAACGCUUUCAUUGAUCAAGAACGAAAGUUAGAGGUU